UAUGGCGAGCUGACGGACAUACCGCGUGAGGGAUGACGGACUUUGGUCUGUAAACCUCUUUUCUCACGAAAGAACUUCUGACCGUACUUGAGGAAUAAACAUCGCCUAACUCCGUGCCAGCAGCCCCGGUAAUACAGGGGAUGCCCGCGUUAUCCCGAAUCUUUGGGCGUAAAGCGCCUGUGGGUUGUUUAAAAUGUCUGUUGUGAAAAACUAGGGCUCAACCCUAGGAAAGCACUGGAAACUGCUAUACUCGUGUAUGAUAGGGGUAUAGGGAAUUUCUCGUGUAGCGCUGAAAUGCGUAGAUAUUAUAAAGAACACCGGUGGCGAAAGCGCUCUACUGUGUCAUUACUGACACUCACAGGCAAAAGCUCGGGUAUCAAAAAGGAUUAGAUACCCCUGUAGUCCUAGCCGCAAACGAUGGAUACUCCAUGUUGCGUUUAUUAUGCCCUGUCCUAUCUAACGCGUUAAGUAUCCCGCCUGGGGAGUA
rnacentral:rRNA from 1 species